rnacentral:rRNA from 1 species
UCGAGAAUCUUCGGCAAUGGGGGCAACCCUGACCGAGCGACGCCGCGUGCGGGAUGAAGGCCUUCGGGUUGUAAACCGCUGUCGUAGAGGAGGAAAUGCAGGUGGGUUCUCCCACCUGUUUGACCUAUUCUAGGAGGAAGUACGGGCUAAGUUCGUGCCAGCAGCCGCGGUAAGACGAACCGUACAAACGUUACUCGGAAUUACUGGGCUUAAAGGGUGCGUAGGCUGCGCGGAAAGUUGGGUGUGAAAGCCCUCGGCUCAACCGGGGAAUUGCAUUCAACACUACCGUGCUCGAGGGAGACAGAGGUAAGCGGAACUCAAGGUGGAGCGGUGAAAUGCGUUGAUAUCUUGAGGAACACCGGUGGCGAAGGCGGCUUACUGGGUCUCUUCUGACGCUGAGGAACGAAAGCUAAGGUAGCAAACGGGAU